GAUGAACGCUGGCGGCGUGCCUAAUACAUGCAAGUAGAACGCUGAAGGAGGAGCUUGCUCUUCUGGAUGAGUUGCGAACGGGUGAGUAACGCGUAGGUAACCUGCCUGGUAGCGGGGGAUAACUAUUGGAAACGAUAGCUAAUACCGCAUGACAACAGUUAUUGCAUGAUAACUGUUUAAAAGGGGCAACUGCUCCACUACCAGAUGGACCUGCGUUGUAUUAGCUAGUUGGUGAGGUAACGGCUCGCCAAGGCGACGAUACAUAGCCGACCUGAGAGGGUGAUCGGCCACACUGGGACUGAGACACGGCCCAGACUCCUACGGGAGGCAGCAGUAGGGAAUCUUCGGCAAUGGACGGAAGUCUGACCGAGCAACGCCGCGUGAGUGAAGAAGGUUUUCGGAUCGUAAAGCUCUGUUGUAAGAGAAGAACGAGUGUGAGAGUGGAAAGUUCACACUGUGACGGUAUCUGACCAGAAAGGGACGGCUAACUACGUG
rnacentral:rRNA from 1 species